UUUAAGGAGACCGAGGCCAGUGGAAGAGCGUGUAGAGGCAUUUGCAGACAUAAUUACUGAGCAAACUACAAGGAGGAAUGUCUGGAGACAACCAUAUGGUGUAGCCACUGUUUUUUCCCAUAUCUGUUUGCUUUUAUUUUAUUUUCUUUGACAUUUCAGACUCUAAAGGGUAUCUUGGUCUUAUAUAAGAAGGUUCUGCUCCUUGUAAUGCUAAUGGGCUAUUAAUGAUCAUUUUUAAUUAGUUGAGUACAGUUUAAUAUUUACAACUAUCUAUUUGACCUCUUUUAAUAUUGGGAGUGUAUUUUAUUGAUAUAAGGUACUUAUAACUUUUGGGCACUGCCCGUUUGUUAGGUGGGCUAUUCCCUUAAAUUAUUUUUCUACUUUUGUAUUUUAUAAUAAAUUCUACAUAAUAUUUUGUAAACUAUGUUCAGUACCUCUUUAUAUUUUAUUCUAUAUUGACCCCUCUAUUCAGUCUAUUCAGAGUUCAAACUGUGGUUGUUUGGGUGGGUGGCUUAGCUUAAUUCUAGGCCCAUUUGUUUGUGGUGUUUUCGGUGACUUAAAACCUUUUUUUUUACUUUUGAUAUUUUGAAGUGGAAAAUGGAUAUCUGGUGUGUGGGUUUAAGUCAAAUGGCACUUUGAUUGCAGUGAUAUUGUGUAUAUUGGGCUAGGGGCUACUGCUACCACCUAUGAAACCUGUUUUUAUUGUUUGACUCCUAUUAUAGAGUCUGUAACAAAAGGAUAAUGUUCAAAUGUACACUUGAUACUCUUUUGAUAAUUUAUUAAAUAAACUGUUAUUGUAUUCAAA